GGAAUAGUCAACUGUUACUGCUUUGGGAAUAUAAGAUUUAAGGCACAGAGAAGACCUGACAUGGCUGAUCCCAUGUACUGUCCAAAAGCAGAACUGCUUCCCUGAACUAGUCUCCAAGACGACAACCAGAGUUGAGUUUUAACAAUUAAAAUACAACCAAAUUUUACGGUAAAUCAGCUUCAGUCGAUGCAGCUACACGAGAGAGGCAGCCCCAAAGAGGCACAACUCGAGCCUGCAUGAAACACGCAGUUAACACAUCGUGAUGUCCCACAGAUGUUCAGGAACAUGGAGAACACACACCCAAACAAAAACCCGCGGCAAGAAACCUCCCUUUUAAUUAAACCUG